GGACUUACCUGGACGGGGUCUAUGGAUGAUCAAGAAGGUCCAUGGCCUAGGUUAGCGACCUCCAUUGCACAUUAAGGAGGGGUGCUCGCCUAAGAUUUUUUAUAGAUUAGGUAUUUCAAUUCAAAAAGGUGUAGGGGCUCAACUUGUUGCUAGGUUGCCCUCUA